CCUACGGGUGGCUGCAGUGGGGAAUCUUGGACAAUGGGCGCAAGCCUGAUCCAGCCAUGCCGCGUGAGUGAUGAAGGCCCUAGGGUUGUAAAACUCUUUCGCCGAGGACGAUAAUGACGGUACUCGGAGAAGAAGCUCCGGCUAACUUCGUGCCAGCAGCCGCGGUAAUACGAAGGGGGCUAGCGUUGUUCGGAUUUACUGGGCGUAAAGCGCGUGUAGGCGGGUCGUUAAGUUGGGGGUGAAAUCCCGAGGCUCAACCUCGGAACUGCCUUCAAAACUGGCGACCUGGACUCAAGCAGAGGCAAGUGGAAUUGCGAGUGUAGAGGUGAAAUUCGUAGAUAUUCGCAGGAACACCAGUGGCGAAGGCGACUUGCUGGGCUUGUAGUGACGCUGAGACGCGAAAGCGUGGGGAGCAAACAGGAUUAGAUACCCUUGUAGUC
rnacentral:rRNA from 1 species